GCCCUUCAUCUCGGUGCUGCAGUCCCCCGGCCUCCCUCGCUGGAGGUGGUUCCGUGCGGAGCGUCCCACAGAUGUGGAUUUCCUCUCCGUCCUGGUGGGGUUCGGCGCCUAACUGGAACCAUGUGCCUCGGUGUUUUUCCCUGUGCCCUCGAAUUCUGCUUUUUCGGCCGAAGGAAAGGAGCGGAGAGGAUGAUGCUGCAUUUUUAAUAUACCACAAAGCGUGCAAGGGAUUUCCCUGCAAAGCCUUCCACGCUGCCCUUCCCCAGACUGGUGGGCUGCAGCCGAGGGCUUCCAGAGACGACGCACUGGUGAAACAGACAUUUUGGAACAGCCGUCACAUAGUUUUUGCCUGAAUAGAGAGGGCCAGAUGCGUAGAGGAAACACGCUGGAGUCACUGGAUGUGUAAGACAGUCAGUCACCUAUAAGAAAGAAAACUCCCGCCAAGUGUGAUUUCUCCCUCAGUCUGAAGAUCCUUCCUCAAUAAAUUCAAUGGAAUUAGAGAAGAAUAAAGAUACCAAUAGAUAAUUGACUAAAUAAUCUAUGAAACAUCCCUAAGAUGAACUACUUGACAUAAAUACAAAUCAUCUCAUAGAUUUAUAAGGACAUGGAAAUACAUUCACUAAAUGGCAACACAUCCAGGAGAAACAAGAUCCUGAGGAAGAAGGAGCUGCCUCUCUCUGCGUGUCUCUUCUAAGAGUGAAGAAGCCUUUCCCAGAAGACCCCCGGAAGAUUUCUUCUGAAGUCUCAUUUCCCAUGCCCAUGUCUAAAUCAAUCACUGGUGAGAGGAAUGAUAACACCAUAAUCGGCUUCAACCAAUCUGGAUGCACGCCGGGCCUAGGAACAGGGCCAGCCUCCUCUCUAGUCACAUUGUCCUGUGGGAGUUUAGUGGGGUUCAUUCUGUCAGUUUGUUUUGUUUUAAACAAAAGUUUCUUUAGGAAGAAGCAUGGUGUGAAGAGGGGGAUGUUUGGAUGUUGGGCAACUGAGCCUAACCUUGGUGCUGAGUUUUUCUGUAAGGAGCAAAUUAGUUUCUGGAAACCAUGCAGUUGUUUUUCUGAUUUAUAAUUCAUUUAUGUUGAAAGCUUCAUAAUAGUACACAAAUGAAGUCCAGUGAUAUUUGAUACUUAAAAAUUACUUUUAUUUCAAUAGGAUACAAAUAUAUAAGUAGUAUUCUACUGGAAAACCCACUAUCUCUGACCACCAUGUAUGUAUGGGAUGGAAAUGACUGACCCGAGGAGUUCAUGCAAAUAUUUUGACUUGAUAAAAGUUAUAAGAAGUUUAGAUAAGAUUUGCAUUUAUUAAUAACCUAAAAUUCAUUAUAUAUGGCAUUGUGCAUCAAAUAUGGCUUGUAGGUUUAGUCUCAUUGUUGUGUUGUUGCACCUUAUAUGCUUAAAACCUAACAUAAACACCAUUCUCAUUCUAAUAGUAAUUUAUCCACACUAUAUAUUCAAAAAAAUAACAAAGGAGUGUAGAUAUCCACUUUUAUAGCAAUUGUAAAUAAAUUUAUCAGUACUUAAUUUAUGUCAAAACUAGUAUUCUCCUCUGGUGGAAGGUGGUUAAAGUUCUGGAGACAAUUUCAGGCAGUCAGUGUUCUACUUUUGUCUUAACCAUUAGUUGGGUUCUCCUCCUGCUUAACCACUGUCUUACCUUGGUCAAAUAAUUAGAUGUCAAUAUGGCUUAGAUUUAUUUCUGUAAACUAACACAAAGUAAUUGAAUUGAAGUAGGUGAUCAUUAACUUGCUGUCUAGCUAUGAUUCUGCGAUAUUCUGAAACUUGAGUUCCUGGGGUUCAUGUGAUAGGUUUGCUGCAUCUUAACACAAGAAACCUCUCAUUACCUAGUCAAGUCUCAGCCUCCCUUUCCUGGUUACUAUUUGCACGAUAUCAAACAGAGAGUCCCUGAGGUUUGGGAGUGGCCCUGGAUGCAAGAAGAGUGCCAGCUUUGAUAUUGGUCUGGAAAUAGAGAGAGGCUGGAAAAGUACUUGGAAUAUUAUGGCCACAGGGGAAUAGCUGGACCGAAGAUUAAAUACUGCCUGCCAAAAUA